rnacentral:rRNA from 1 species
GACGAACGCUGGCGGCGUGCUUAACACAUGCAAGUCGAACGGAAAGGCCCUGCUUUUGUGGGGUGCUCGAGUGGCGAACGGGUGAGUAACACGUGAGUAACCUGCUCUUGACUUUGGGAUAACUUCAGGAAACUGGGGUUAAUAUCGGAUAGGAGAUCCUGCUGCAUGGUGGGGGUUGGAAAGUUUCGGCGGUCGGGGAUGGACUCGCGGCUUAUCAGCUUGUUGGUGGGGUAGUGGCUUACCAAGGCUUUGACGGGUAGCCGGCCUGAGAGGGUGACCGGCCACAUUGGGACUGAGAUACGGCCGAGACGCCUACGGGAGGCAGCAGUGGGGAAUAUUGCACAAUGGGCGGAGGCCUGAUGCAGCAACGCCGCGUGCGGGAUAGCGGCCUUCGUGUUGUAAACCGCUUUCGCCUGUGACGAAGCGUGAGUGACGGUAAUGGGUAAAGAAGCACCGGCUAACUACGUU